GGAUCCGUAGCUCAGUUGGCCAGAGCGCCCGGUUUACAUCCGGAAGGUCGUAGGUUCAAGUCCUACCGGGUCCA
rnacentral:tRNA from 1 species